rnacentral:rRNA from 1 species
UACGUAGGGGGCAAGCGUUGUCCGGAAUCAUUGGGCGUAAAGCGCGUGUAGGCGGUUCGGUAAGUCUGCUGUGAAAGUCCAGGGCUCAACCCUGGGAUGCCGGUGGAUACUGUCGGACUAGAGUACGGAAGAGGCGAGUGGAAUUCCCGGUGUAGCGGUGAAAUGCGCAGAUAUCAGGAAGAACACCCGUGGCGAAAGCGGCUCUCUGGAACGGUACUGACGCUGAGACGCGAAAGCGUGGGGAGCGAACAGG